rnacentral:rRNA from 1 species
GAUGAACGCUGGCGGCGUGCCUAAUACAUGCAAGUCGAGCGAACAGAUGAGGAGCUUGCUCCUCUGACGUUAGCGGCGGACGGGUGAGUAACACGUGGAUAACCUACCUAUAAGACUGGGAUAACUUCGGGAAACCGGAGCUAAUACCGGCUAAUAUCUUCAACCGCUUGGUUCAAUAGUGAAUGGCGCUUUUCCUGUCUCUAUUAGUUGGUUCCGCGCCGCAUUAGCUAGUUGGUAAGGUAACGGCUUACCAAGGCAACGAUGCGUAGCCGACCUGAGAGGGUGAUCGGCCACACUGGAACUGAGACACGGUCCAGACUCCUACGGGAGGCAGCAGUAGGGAAUCUUCCGCAAUGGGCGAAAGCCUGACGGAGCAACGCCGCGUGAGUGAUGAAGGUCUUCGGAUCGUAAAACUCUGUUAUUAGGGAAGAACAAAUGUGUAAGUAACUAUGCACGUCUUGACGGUACCUAAUCAGAAAGCCACGGCUAACUACGUG